rnacentral:rRNA from 1 species
CAGCCGCCACGGUAAUACGAAGGGGGCUAGCGUUGUUCGGAAUUACUGGGCGUAAAGCGCACGUAGGCGGAUAUUUAAGUCAGGGGUGAAAUCCCGCAGCUCAACUGCGGAACUGCCUUUGAUACUGGGUAUCUUGAGUAUGGAAGAGGUUAGUGGAAUUGCGAGUGUAGAGGUGAAAUUCGUAGAUAUUCGCAGGAACACCAGUGGCGAAGGCGGCUAACUGGUCCAUAACUGACGCUGAGGUGCGAAAGCGUGGGGAGCAAACAGGAUUAGAUACCCCCGUAGUCCCUGUCUCUUAUAA